GUCUUUUUGAGUUAUUUUUAAAGUCUGACCUGCCCACUGAGUUUUAAAUGGCCGCAGUAUUUUAACUGUGCAAAGGUAGCAUAAUCAUUAGUCUUUUAAUUGAAGGCUGGUAUGAACGGUUGGACGAGGUAUAAGCUGUUUCAUAUAAAAUUAUAAUAGAAUUUUAUAUUUUAGUUAAAAAGCUAAAAUAUAAUUAAAAGACGAGAAGACCCUAUAAAUCUUUAUACUUUAGAUAAUUUAAAUUUUUUGGGUUUAUUUUAUUUUUAUUAUAUUGAGUAUUUUGUUGGGGUGAUAUUAAAAUUUAAUGAACUUUUAAUUGGGUGUUUAAAUCAUUAAUUUAUGAAUUGUUGAUCCAUUAAUAGUGAUUAUAAGAUUAAGUUACUUUAGGGAUAACAGCGUAAUUUUUUUGGAGAGUUCAUAUCGAUAAAAAAGUUUGCGACCUCGAUGUUGGAUUAAGAUAUAAUUUUAGGUGUAGUCGCUUAAAUGUUAAGUCUGUUCGACUUUUAAAUUCUU
rnacentral:rRNA from 1 species